rnacentral:rRNA from 1 species
UACGGAGGAUGCAAGCGUUAUCCGGAAUGAUUGGGCGUAAAGCGUCCGCAGGUGGCUAUGUAAGUCUGCUGUUAAAGAGUGAGGCUCAACCUCAUAAGAGCAGUGGAAACUACAUGGCUAGAGUGCGUUCGGGGCAGAGGGAAUUCCUGGUGUAGCGGUGAAAUGCGUAGAGAUCAGGAAGAACACCGGUGGCGAAGGCGGCCUGCUGGGGUGGAGCUGACGCUGAGGCGCGACAGCGUGGGGAGCAAACAGG